rnacentral:rRNA from 1 species
UACGUAGGGUGCAAGCGUUGUCCGGAAUUAUUGGGCGUAAAGAGCUCGUAGGCGGUUCGUCGCGUCGGCUGUGAAAACCCGAGGCUCAACCUCGGGCCUGCAGUCGAUACGGGCGGACUGGAGUUCGGCAGGGGAGACUGGAAUUCCUGGUGUAGCGGUGAAAUGCGCAGAUAUCAGGAAGAACACCCGUGGCGAAGGCGGCUCUCUGGUACGGAACUGACGCUGAGACGCGAAAGCGUGGGGAGCGAACAGG